CCUACGGGGGGCAGCAGUGAGGAAUAUUGGUCAAUGGACGAGAGUCUGAACCAGCCAAGUAGCGUGAAGGAUGACUGCCCUACGGGUUGUAAACUUCUUUUAUAUGGGAAUAAAAUGUUCCACGUGUGGGAUUUUGUAUGUACCAUAUGAAUAAGGAUCGGCUAACUCCGUGCCAGCAGCCGCGGUAAUACGGAGGAUCCGAGCGUUAUCCGGAUUUAUUGGGUUUAAAGGGAGCGUAGGUGGGUUGUUAAGUCAGUUGUGAAAGUUUGCGGCUCAACCGUAAAAUUGCAAUUGAAACUGGCAGACUUGAGUACAGUAGAGGGAGGCGGAAUUCGUGGUGUAGCGGUGAAAUGCGUAGAUAUCACGAAGAACUCUGAUGGCGAAGGCAGCUUCCUGAACUGCAACUGACACUGAGGCUCGAAAGUGUGGGGAUCAAACAGGAUUAGAUACCCUUGUAGUC
rnacentral:rRNA from 1 species